rnacentral:rRNA from 1 species
GACGAACGCUGGCGGCGUGCUUAACGCAUGCAAGUCGAACGGAAAGGCCUGCAGCUUGCUGCGGGUACUCGAGUGGCGAACGGGUGAGUAACACGUGGGUGAUCUGCCUUGCACUUCGGGAUAAGCUUGGGAAACUGGGUCUAAUACCGGAUAGGACAGCUGUUUAGUGUCAGUUGUGGAAAGUUUUUUCGGUGCAAGAUGAGCUCGCGGCCUAUCAGCUUGUUGGUGGGGUAAUGGCCUACCAAGGCGUCGACGGGUAGCCGGCCUGAGAGGGUGUACGGCCACAUUGGGACUGAGAUACGGCCCAGACUCCUACGGGAGGCAGCAGUGGGGAAUAUUGCACAAUGGGCGGAAGCCUGAUGCAGCGACGCCGCGUGGGGGAUGAAGGCCUUCGGGUUGUAAACUCCUUUCGACAGGGACGAAGCUUUUGUGACGGUACCUGUAUAAGAAGCACCGGCUAACUACGUG